AUUGAACGCUGGCGGAAUGCUUUACACAUGCAAGUCGAACGGCAGCACGGACUUCGGUCUGGUGGCGAGUGGCGAACGGGUGAGUAAUGUAUCGGAACGUGCCCAGUCGUGGGGGAUAACGUAGUGAAAAUUACGCUAAUACCGCAUACGAUCUAUGGAUGAAAGCGGGGGAUCGCAAGACCUCGCGCGAUUGGAGCGGCCGAUAUCAGAUUAGAUAGUUGGUGGGGUAAAGGCUCACCAAGCCGACGAUCUGUAGCUGGUCUGAGAGGACGACCAGCCACACUGGGACUGAGACACGGCCCAGACUCCUACGGGAGGCAGCAGUGGGGAAUUUUGGACAAUGGGCGAAAGCCUGAUCCAGCCAUUCCGCGUGCAGGAUGAAAGCCCUCGGGUUGUAAACUGCUUUUGUACAGAACGAAAAGGUUUCUACUAAUACUAGGAGCUCAUGACGGUACUGUAAGAAUAAGCACCGGCUAACUACGUGCCAGCAGCCGCAGUAA
rnacentral:rRNA from 1 species